GUCUUCAUUAUUUUGUUUUACAGGUUAAAAUAAACCACUUGGCGUGAGCUACCGCACCUGGCCAGAAAUGUACUUUUUGAAAAGGGAUAAGAUACUCAGUUUUCAUCUUGUUGCUUUAUUCAGUUUGCUCCGAGGGCAAAAUCAACAGUAGUAGAGAUCACAAACAUUAUUUUGAUUGGCCUCACAAGCCUCAUCAGUAAAACCUGAAAAAACAGAAAAUGUUACACAAGUUGCAAAGAAAGCACUCCUGGAGUUCACUGACAUGAUAGCAAAUGGAAAGAAUAUAAAUGCAACAGGUGUUAACAUUUAGAACAGUACUUGUAAACCUGCUCAUUUCUAGACAAUUCCGGGACUCUCGCUGCGAACCCUUCAUCUAUCACUGCUGAUUUCCUUUGACAUUAAAUAUGACUUUAUGAAAAUCUUCCUAAACCUCACUCUGGCUGCACCUGAGUGGUUCCUAUUCCUACGGCGCUGGCAUAUGCUGUCAGGAUUUCCACUAUCUGUUUCGUUUCUAGGGUCAUUCGGGCUUCCUUCAGCCAGUCCUGUGCCACUCGUCUGGAUUCCCCCUUCAGCUGAUUGACAAACUUUGCUGCUAGCUCCAGAUCACCAUGCUCAAUGCAAUAGGAAGCAUAUGACAGUAAUUUAAAUGUGUUUAUAUCCUCAGGGCAGAGCUCCGGGGGCGGCUUCAGUUGCUGAGGUGGGAAUAGGAGCAGGGACUGUAGGUAGGAGAGGAAGUACUGGUACAAGCUAUUUCUGGUUUCAUCAAUCAUUGCUACCCUUCGGGCCAGUUUUUGAACAGCAUAGAAACGGGCUCUAAGGGUCUCUUCACUGUACACCCCACGGGUCAGGGACUCUGGAGGGAUAGCUGCGGUUAAAGCUUGGGUGAAUUCAUUAUCAGAACAGUUGGCUUUGAUGGCCUCAACUGCACUACCCAGCGGGAUAGUAGGUGUUUCUGCAGAUGAGGUCUUCAUGCUGUACUUUAAUGCCUCCACUGAAAGCCAGAGUUGGUGGGCUUUUCUGGCUUCCUCUUCAGCAACUGCAUGGCCU
rnacentral:lncRNA from 1 species